AAUGUGUUAUUGAACACAUUUUAUCAAGGACUUUAAAAUCCUGCUCUGCUUGCAGCUAAUGCUGCCACCUCUCCAUCCUCCCCCCAGCCAGUUCCAAGGAAAAUGGGCAGAGCUGAAGUCCCAAAGCUAA